ACGGCAGCAUGAUCUAGCUUGCUAGAUUGAUGGCGAGUAGCGGACGGGUGAGUAACGCGUAGGAAUCUACCUCUAGGUGGGGGACAACUUGUGGAAACGCAAGCUAAUACCGCAUAAUACCUGAGGGUUAAAGCUAGCUUCGGCUGGCGCCAAGAGAUGAGCCUGCGUCUGAUUAGCUAGUUGGUGGGGUAAAGGCCUACCAAGGCGACGAUCAGUAGCUGUUCUGAGAGGAAGAUCAGCCACACUGGGACUGAGACACGGCCCAGACUCCUACGGGAGGCAGCAGUGGGGAAUAUUGGACAAUGGGGGCAACCCUGAUCCAGCAAUGCCACGUGUGUGAAGAAGGCCUUAGGGUUGUAAAGCACUUUCAUUAGCGAGGAAGGUAUUUAGGUUAAGAGCUAAGAUACUUGACGUUAACUAAAGAAGAAGCACCGGCUAAC
rnacentral:rRNA from 1 species